UGCCCCAUCAACUAGAUGAGUAGGCCCAUCAUCUGAAGGAAUAAAGAGAUCACAUGCCACAACCCAACCCACAAUCUAAGUGCAUAUUUCACAAUGUGGCCCAAGGACAACCAGGGUGGGUUCCACAGAUUUAGCUGGAUUCCUCUGGGGUCAGUGCUCCCUCCCAAGGCCAGCAGCUGUGGCCAUAGGAAUCCAAACUUGGCUGCUAGUCUUGGCAGGUUGCUCAAUGACUCUUAGCCGCACAAAUCAGGCCCCGAGCUGGGCCAGGCUUGAGGGAGGCCCCAAGGCCCCUACAGAAGAGGAGGAGCAGGAGGCAGCCAGUAAUUGCCUAGAGAAAAAAAUAAGUACCAGCCUGUAAAUUGCAAUGUAUAUCAGCGUGAAGCCUUGCUAGCUCUGCUCCCCACUUGCCAACCACUGCCACGCAGAAACUCCCUGCAUCCUCUCCAGACUUCCCCAGGCUGCCGCCUUAUUUUCAGAUGCCUCCUCCCUGCAGUGCCAGAAUUGACAGCUAUGAAUGAGAAACACAGGCUGGAGCUGGAUAAGGAAGGCAUCCCAUAAUGGAGACUGAGUAGAUGUGCAUGAGACCCAGAGGACUGAUUUUCACUCAACCGAUGGAAGGAAAUAAUUUACCUUUCGAACCCUAGAAUGAGCUUCACUGUUCUGUGGAUCUUGAUGAAGAAAACAAGGAAAGCUGGUAUGUCCUGGUACGUUUGGCUCCCUGCAAAAUAUUUCUUUCCUAGGCCCUCUUCAUUAGAAACCUGCCUCUGCCCUGAGUUGGAGAAGACAGGCCUUUUCCCCUGCCGUGCACAUUUUCCCACAGUCCUGAGACUGAACCUAUAGCAGGGCCAGAGAAAAUCCUCUCCAGUUUUCUCACUGUUUCCUCCCUGCCUGGUGGAUGGAAACCAGUUUGCUCAGGAGAAGUGGUUUCUACCGCAGGGAUAAGAGAUCCAGCCUCUAAGACAAGUCAAAUAAAAUUCAUGUGUUACACACACACAGACACACAGACACACACACACACACACACACACAGUCACACAGUUGCCCAGGGAGAGGGUCGCAGCUCUGCACCAGGAGGACAAUUUGUUUUAAGGUGCAUGCUGCCCUGGCUCUCAAUUUGUUGCUUUCAUUUUUAUAAUCACUGUUGUGUUCCAAUUGUUGUAAGUGGCACUGGGAAUGUUUGUUCUCAUGUAAUUGCUUGUUUCCUACUGAAAUUUCCAUGUCAGACCCCUUCAUUGUUCUCAGUAUCGCUCGCCUCCCAUUCUGUGGGGUUGGCAUGGAUUAUCCUAGUGGCGGCCGGCAGGGCAUGUGAGCACCAUUCCGCUCAGUCCUGACGCAGCUGAGGACGGCUGGGGGAAAUGGUCCCGGCUGCUGGGCCGAACACUGGGAUGAGAGAAUCUUGACAAGGGCCUGGCCUGCCUCCUGAUUCUGGACUGGGCCAAAUUCGGAGUGCAUUUUGCAUCCCCACCCCCAAGUAUUUCAGAGGAAAUGUGACCCUGUGUUUCUGAUUCAUGUGCACUUAACUCGUUAAAAUGUUGAUUUACAAAGGGUGGGUGGUGUCCAAAUAAACCUCUGGAGC
rnacentral:lncRNA from 1 species